GACUUUUUAAAGUAGCGAUCCUGGUGUGCACAGGAAGGAAGUAAAGAAAAAAGAACGAUGACAAAUGGACACCAGAAGAAAGUGUGAUUGCACCAAUAUUUGAAAAGACUGAUUCACUGACUGGUGGUCUGCUGCACGUGAAUGAUGACAGCAUUUAAAGGGAAGUGGAUCAGGGUGAUGACAGAUUCUGUUAGCUUGUUGAAAAUUCAGGAUAAAAUUCUUUUGCAUGAAAGAUUAGUAGAUUUUCAAAGAAGCCAAAGAAGCCACUGUGAAUUACUUAGAGGAUAAUUUUACAGAAUGAAAAGUAAGGUUCGUGGGCUAAAAAAGAGCUGUCAGAAACCAAAGAAGUGAAAUCACAGUUAGGCCAUCAGAAAGUGGAAUGGGAAUGAGAGCUCAGCAGCUUGAGGUACUGUACACCUUGCUUUUAAAGAAACAUUUGAACUAUUGUUUCCUUUAAUACUGCAGAAAUGUAGAUGUGUUAUAAGGACUAAUUUAUCCUCUAGGAUUUUACAGAGGAGAAAGUGUUACUAGUAUUGUGGAGUGUGAAAUUCUUGGAAAUAAUAUAGUAGGUUCCUAACAGUGAAUGCUUCUAAUAAUGUAUAUUUUUCCAAAUUAUCAUUUUAGUGACCAUACAGAAGUUCAGCAUAAUGGAAAGCCCAUUAAAGAUUUACCAAAUUCACUUUCAGUUGUUUUUCACUUUUCUGUAUUCUAUUUAAUAUUGCAA
rnacentral:lncRNA from 1 species